AACAAAUUGAGAUGGAUUUGUUAGGUUAUUAUUGACAGAAUUUGCUGCAACAUAAUAUUCGUUUAUUUAUUAUUCUUACUUUUAUUUUGUUAUUAAUAGAAUACCCGUGAAUCGACAAUUUGUUGCUCGUGAAUCGACAAUUUGUUGCUCAUUCAAUACUACAAAGUUUCAGAAGCUACAACUCCUUCUGAUGUUGAGAUUAUACGAGAUCCCAAACUGACUUAGAGAGUCCACCGGCUCUACUAAAGACAAUUCGUUCACAUUACCCGAUUAGACAAUUUAGGGGAGUCAGGGAAAUUGUUAAAAGAAGCAAAUAUAGAAGAAAGUUGUAAACGCCUCUGGGAACAUUCGUCAGCUUACUAUUUAUAAAGAGAUUGAUCUUUAUAUUGCAAGGUGCAUUUGGCAACACAGUUAAAGAUGGAGCAAGACCAAUGUUUCUGAUUUCUUUUUUGAAUAUCCUCUUCAUUUUCUCUUGCCAAUUCUAUUGGCUCCCUAGGUAGCCAAGAUCAAAUGACGUAAAUUAGAAUGCCCAACUAUUUAUGCCGCGUGAUCACCGCCGGUGUGCAAAAUGGAAAAUAGUGUUGCUAAUCUGAUUGUAAUAAUUUUUUUAAUGUUAUCAAAA